UUUUUUCUGAUCCAGCACAAAUAUGAUACUAGAAUGCUUGGCCUUUUUGAUUUACUGUUUUCUCUCAUGAAUUGUGAUUCUGUAAUGAUUACUUCUAUGUGCUUAUGUAUGUGUGACACACGUACACACAUUUAUUUUUUCUAAGGUAAAUGAGAAUAAGAAAACCAAAUAGCUAAAGUUUUUUUUUUUAUCAUUUUAUACAGUAAAAAUAAACUCUCUGUGGGGUCUGGAUUGACCUAUCUAUAAAUAAAUUAACUGAGAUUUAAUGCCUGCUAAUUCUGUUACAUUCUUAAGCAGAACAGUUUCACUAAGACAGGUUCUGAAAGGUAUAGCUAACUCUGACUUAGACAUUGGUGUCCUAAUCCAGCAUCAAGGUAGUGUAAAACAAAUGCAAGAAAUGUGGGCUAGGCACUUAGAAUCAUAGCAGAAGCACAAUAAACAUUUGAAAUUUGUUGAAUGAAUAAAUGAAGGAAUAAAAUUUUAUGAACAGGAGAUGCUUUGUGAACUGAUAGAACCGAACCUAUCAAACUAGGAACUAGCUUAUUACACUUAAUUUAAGCAUAAAAACUUUUUUUUUCUUUUUAGUGCUGCACUUGAGGCAUAUGGAAGUUCCCAGGCUAGGGAUUGAAUCAGAGAGGCAGCAGCCGGCCUGCACCACAACCAUGGCAAUGCCAGAUCCAAGCUGCAUUUUAUACCUAUGCAGCAGCUUGCAGCAAUGCCAGAUCUUUAACCCACUAAGCCUGGCCAGGGAACCCACAUCCUCAUGGAUACCAGUUGGUUUCUUAACUUGCUGAGCCAUAAUGGGAACUCCCAAACAUAAAAACAUUUAAGCAUAAAAACACAUACCAUUAAUAAUAAUGAUCAUUAAAAUUAUGAAAUUGAUCCUCUGUUCUGCCACACUAGGCAGAUAACAGCAAAAUAAAACAAAACAAAAACAAAAUCUCUAACUAGUGUGACUAGCGGGAUAAUCUCUGUUUGGGUCUAGAUUUCUAUCAUGAUAGCAUUUAGCCUUAAAACUAAACACAGACUAUGUUACUGUAAGACUUUAAGUAUUUGUCACUAUUGAAAAACAAACUUGCAGUACAAAAAUUAUAAAUGUAAAAUUUACUGUUUAAAAUGGUCUUAAAUGAGUAAUUACUAUAAAUCUUCCCCACAAGUCAGUAUGUAAAUAUACACAAUUUCAGACUUAAUGGGUAUUUUAUGACUCAUAUGUCUUUCUUAUUCAUCAUCUAUCAGUAGCAGAAUUAAUUUUUUUCCAAGCCUUUAUUUUUAUUUCGAGGUCAAUCUCCGUCCUUACUAAUGAGUGUGCUCAGAGUGUCUUUGUGCAUGUACUUUACCAAUUUAUUUCCUUGGAAUGUGUACUUCCUCCACUAUAGUCUGCACAAUUCCAGCCAAUAUUUAUGGGGAUUUGCCAACAAAAGACUUGGUGUUCUCUAUUCUGACUAUUCCUUCCUUUCUCCAUAUUUUUUCCUUUGAUACCAUUCUUUCUAAUCCCUUGAUGGUGAGAACUGUAUUCUGCUCUUUUGAGAGAGAAGAAUGACAAUGAUUAAGGAAUAAUCUGAAUAUUACCUCUUCUUUAGUUUGAAAUGCAAGCGCUAAGAUUUUAUACUGAAGUUUAACUUAAAAUAGGGAGGGAGUUGUUCUGAUUAACCUUUUCACACUCAACGAAAUGUAGGCCAUGCAGUAGUAUAAUUACACCUAUGUGUGCAUAUAAAUAGUUUUUUUUCAAUUGACGUUUUAGAUUGAAAAAAAAAAUCUUUUCCAGUUUUCGCUGUGUUCUUAAUAUCUCUUUCAUAGCAUGUGGGCCUUUUAUAAACCUGAUGAAAAGGGAUCACGAUUGAAUAAGUUUAGGUAACACUGCUUAUUUAUCUUGUGUGGAAGAAUCACAAUUCACAAUCACAUAGUAAAACCUACAAGAAAGUCUGUAGUAAAGAAAUACAUUUAAAUUUUGUAUUCUACACUUUUUCAAACACUUUUUUAUUAUUUUUCUUUCAUUGGAAUAUUUUUCAAAUUCUCCAACUUUGGUGUUCUCUGUCAUUCAAAUCAGAGAACUUUAAAAAAAUUGUACUUUUUAGAUAACAAGGUGAUAACAACUCAAACCAUACAAAAAGUAUAAUUAUGAAAAUGUAUGCAACUUUAACACAGAGGCAUCAAGGAAACCAAAAUAAAAGGUAUACAGUAGUCCCUCACAAAUGGAAAACAAAAUGUAGCAAAGGGAUUUGCCAGGAUUGGAUACAGUGUGACAAAUGGGGAGUUCCCGUCGUGGCGCAGUGGUUAAGGAAUCCGACUAGGAACCAUGAGGUUGCGGGUUCGGUCCCUCGCCUUGCUCAGUGUGUCAAUGAUCCGCCGUUGCUGUGAGCUGUGGUGUAGGUUGCAGACAAGGCUCGGAUCCUGUGUUGCUGUGGCUCUGGCGUAGGCUGGCAGCUACAGCUCCGAUUAGACCCCUAGCCUGGGAACCUCCCAUAUGCCGGGGGAGUGGACCAUGAAAUGGCAAAAAGACCAAAAAAAAAAAAAAGACAAAUGGAAAUAACAUUAUUUAAAAAUGAGAUAUGAUAAUGCUUUGAAGUAAGACAUUGGCCCAUUAACAUGAUGUUAACCAACAUUUAAAAAUUGACUGAUAGAAGUGUGGAUCUAUGGAGAGAGAUAUAAAGAAGGAACAUAUUUCAAAGGAAAGAAAUUCUUAAAUGUAUUAUUUUAUUCAAGAGCUUGUUGGUAAAAUCACCCUAAAAUGUGCAUCUGAAAAUAACUAUUAAUCAACUCUGCCUUAUGUUAGUAAUUAGUUGUCUGUCUCUUCCUUUUGAAAUAAUCCAAGGGCAGAUUAUUUUUCUGUUUUAUUCUUAACCUUAUCCCUAGUGCCUAGUUUACUCAUAGCAGACAAAUGACUUAUAAUAAAUACUUGUUGAGUCAAUGAAUUAUUAUAAUAAGGUAACAAUAAUUUAUGGUUUACAGUCUGUAAACUUUUUUAACUUUUCUAACUCUUCUUAUUCUUUCUUUACCACAAGUACCUUGUGGACCCAGAGUUGUACCUAGUGAACUACAGAUUUGAGGCACUAUUUCUGAAACAAUCCUCUGAAAUCAUCAGCAUGAAAUUACCAUAACAGUUGUUAAAAAUCCUACUCCAUACCCACUAAAUCAGACUCUUUGGUAUGCAAGCCCAGGAAUAUGGAAAAAAAAAAGUACCCCUAAGUGACUUUUUGGAAAUAAAAAUUUGAGAACUACAGGCUCUAGCAACAUAGCAACAUAGCAGGACUUAGAAUUCCAUUAAUGUGUCUUUCUCCUACCUUUUGAGUAACAUAGUUGUCUUGUACUCACCACCGUCUUUUAGAGUAAUGAAAGAAUAGUGUUGGGCACUUAGGUCACACUUAGAAAAUACUGAUAGUGUGAUUAGUUAAUUGUGAAUCUAAAAUCAGACUCCUGAAUAAUUUUCAAUAAAAUCUCCUUUUGACAAAAAUGUAUAUAUAAAGUAGAUUAUCAAAAUAGUAUUAUUUUGUUAUAAUUCUAAUAUAGAGAGGUAUAUGCAAAAAUUAUUGACAUCAUUGUCAACUGCAUACACUGAGGCGCUUAUUGCUUCAAAUAUAUGCUAAAAUUAAAAAUAUUUAUAUGUAUUUGUACUGUUGUUAAUCUUUGAGUGUGUCUACCUGCAAUUAACUCUAGUAGAAAGGUGGCUAAGACUUGUUUCCCGAGAUAUAUACUUGUACUCUAUAUUUAUAUCCAUUGCUAUACCUCGGUAGUUUUAAUUUUCAUUGCGUAAAUAUUUUUAUACAGUGUGGAAGGUGGAGACCAUAAAAUAGCUUUGUGGUAUCCUGACCAUAUCUCCCUAAAGUACAGUAGUUGGAAUUCACAUCUUUGUCAUCUAAAAUCAGGAUUAUCACCUUCAGUACUAUUAAUAUUUUGAGCUAGAUAAUUCUUUUUUAAAAAAAUUAUUAAAAUAUAGAUGAUUUACAAUGUGCCAAUUUCUUAUGUACAGAAAAGUGACUCAGUCAUAUGUGUGUGUGUGUGUGUUUGUGUGUAUACAUUCUUUUUCUUAUAUUAUCUUCUAUCAUGGUCUAUCCCAGGAGAUUGGAUAUAGUUCUCUGUGCUGUAUACAGUAGGGCCUUAUUGUUUAUCCAGCUAAUUCUUAAUUUCUGCUGUACAGAAAAGUGACUCAGUCAUAUAUAUAUAUAUGUAUGUAUAUAUGUAUAUAUGUGCAUAUAUAUACAUGUAUUAUAUACACUUUCUUUUUCUUAUAUUAUCUGCUGUCAUGGUCUAUCCCAGGAGAUUGGAUAUAGUUCUCUCUGCUAUACAGUAGGACUUUAUUGUUUAUCCAGAUAAUUCUUUUUUGGAGGGAAUGUAAGGGACUGUCCUGUGCAUUGAAGGAUGCUUAGCAGCAUCCUCAACCUUUAUUCACUAGAUGCCAAUAGCACACCAGACCCCACAAGUUGUGACAAUCAAAGAUAUUCUCAGACAUUGUCCAGUGUCCUCUGGAGGGCAACUUCAUCCUUGUUGAAACCUACUGGUCUAAAAGGAUCUGGAGUUAUGUUUUUCCUAGGAUAUCAUCUUAAAUGACAUUAAACAAAGUGAUGGGAACUUAUGUCACCUCAUAUUCAUAAGCCUGAUUUGUUGAACCCAAAUUAUAUGUGCAUGAAGUUCCAGCAGCUGGGUUAGGUAUUAAUUUACUUGCUUCCACCUAUUAAGAAAGAUGAGAUCUAAAAUCAUAUCUUCAUAUCACAAAUUUAACUGCAGCAAUGGUUCUUAUCCUGUGUACACAUUUUGUGCUGUUAGCCAAAGCAGGUAAUGCAGCAAAAACUAGAGUUGUUCAUUAUCAUUAUGAAUGUUGAAGUGGUCUGAAUUAUACUACCCACACAUUAUUAAAUCUAAUUGUAUAAUAACUGACAAUGGCAAUAAGACAAUGGCUAUAAGCCAGCAGGUCCUUGGAAAAUUGUCAUACUGUGUGAUAAAGUUGGCCUCAAUACCCGAGGUUUACAGAUUAAUGAUAGAAGGGCACUUUUUAUAUUGUCAUAGGGCAAGAACCAUCGUUAAACAGAAUUGCAGUGCAAGUAAUACCAGUCACAAGUUCCUGGGAUGCAGCCAUGAUAUCAAAAUUGAAGCUAUGAAUGCCCCUAUAAAUGUUUCCAAAGGCUAUGUGCAGGAUGAUUAUGGUAGUAUAUUCUAACAGCUGCCAAAUAGUAAUCUCAAGUGUGAAAUCACUGUAUUUUAAAAAUAUCUUUAUGAAAUGAGGCUUAGCAUAGAAAUGCUAGGAAAGACAAACCAUCCUUAUCUGAUUUUUUAAAAUAAACUGACUAGUUCUUCUUUCAGUAUAAACAAUAUUGAGACUGUGAGGUUAAAUAUGACAACAACAAAAAGCAGUAUUUGACAAAAACAGAGAUAAUUGCUAAUUAUGGGCUAGUCUCUUUGUGCGUAUGAUACAAAAUAGCUGUUAAACCAACAGCUUAGAACAACAUAAUAUAUAAGCUGUUGGUUUGCAACUUAAUUUUUGGCUGAAAAAUUUUUAUAUGACAAUUUAUUUGAGAAUUUAUCUUGAUAGAAAUUUAUGUCUUUACUAAAAGUUGAAAAGUCAGAAAGUCAAAGUGAUAUACCUUAAUAGUAUAAUCAAAUAUUCAUAUAAAAAUUUCGCUGUGCCUCCCCUUCUAUACUAUAAAAAAAACUUUGAAAUUUUGUUGGAUAAUUUUAGGAAGUUAUUAACAUUUAUUAUCAUAAUGGAUGUUAAAAAGUAGGGAAAAGACACAGCAUACCAACAACAAUAACAACAACAACAAAAAAAGAGAUUUACAUUUAGAAAAUUGAGGUACACAUUUUGACUCCAUUCCUAAUUGUUUCAAUUAUGGCUUCCUUUUCUUCAUUUGUAAGACUAAGUUUUGUAUGGAAUAAAUAACAUGAUGCGUGCUUGUGAAGAACUUACUCCAAAGUCUGAUGUAUCAUAAACACACAGUUUAUGAUAAUUCCUUUUCUUCCUUCACUUCAAAUAUGAGGAUGCAGACCUGCUCUGUCUUGCUGUAUUUCAGUGGCCUGAAAACUGAUGUGGCAAGAACUUGCUGAGUGGUAUAGGUGUCUAUUACUGUAUUGGACAUGUAGGAGUACAAUAGUUAUGAUUAGCUAAUAAAUGAGUGCAUUUUGGCAAAAAAGACAAAAUAAUAAUAGUUACUUACUGAGCACAAACUAUGUGCCAGAAGUAUUCUGAGUCUUUUAGUAGGACUGUGUUAUUCAAAAUCCAAAAUAUUCCCUAUAGUAGGGACUUUUAUUAUUCUUUCACUAAUGAGGAAACUGAGGCAAAAUUUUAUCUAAUAUCUUGCAUCUGCUAUGUGGGAGCCUGAGAUUUAUACCAAGAUAAGAGAAUUACACUCUGUCUGCCAUGGUGUACUUCCUCUCCAUUCAAACUUUUACAAAGCUACAAUUCCUUCUGGUGUUUGUAAAAGAACAGUGCAAACAUAUUCAGUAUGAACUAUAUUUCAAAUAAGCC
rnacentral:lncRNA from 1 species